rnacentral:rRNA from 1 species
AUGCUGGAUCUUCACCCCCCUAUGCCCCGCCCAGCAAUCUCCUUCCCCGUUCCAAACUUAAAUGGAAACCCUAGCGCCGCCUUGGGUGGCGGCUACCUUCACUACCCGCAGCAUCUCCGAUACCUCAUACCCUGCUCAGUCAACUCCUACAUGCGUAACCUGAAUCUGAGUGUUAACCUCAGAGCCGCCUUGAGCCGCCUGCAUGAUCGCCAAUCUCCCAUGGCCAGCUCAGGCAACUCCAUCCACACACUGAACCCAAACACAAACCUGAACCUGAGCGCCAACCCCAGCGCCGCCUCGCACGGCCACUACCUUCAGAACACGCAGGAUAUUUGA